GUUAGAGUGGCAGAGCCCGGUAAUUGCAAAAGGUCUAAGCUCUUUAAACAGGGGUUCAAAUCCCCUCUUUAACU
rnacentral:tRNA from 1 species